ACUGGGCUUGGAGUCAGAAGACCUGGCU
rnacentral:miRNA from 1 species